rnacentral:rRNA from 1 species
UACGAAGGGGGCUAGCGUUGUUCGGAAUCACUGGGCGUAAAGCGCACGCAGGCGGAUCGUUAAGUCAGGGGUGAAAUGCCGAGGCUCAACCUCGGAACUGCCUUUGAUACUGGCGAUCUUAGAGUCCGGGAGAGGUGAGUGGAACUCCGAGUGUAGAGGUGAAAUUCGUAGAUAUUCGCAAGAACACCAGUGGCGAAGGCGGCUCACUGGCCCGAUACUGACGCUGAGGUGCGAAAGCGUGGGGAGCAAACAGG